UAAUAAAAAAGGACAGAGGAAUGCUAAACGUAUUAGAUUCUUAAGUGGUUUUUUUAAUAGCUUAAAUGUUUGUUUUUCUUAAAAUAAAUAAAAGAAAAAAAAAACAAUGGGAGCAACAGUAACAGACAUCGUCACUCCCUCAUCGUCCUCACUCUCACAACAUCUUCACGUUUCUCUCAACCGCUCUCUCAAUCUCGCUUUCUCAAAAU
rnacentral:lncRNA from 1 species